rnacentral:snoRNA from 1 species
GGCGAUUGCUAUGACGCUGACAUUAAUCCCAGCUCUAUGAGGCCUUAUAAUUAAGGUCUUGGAUUAAACUUUGUUUCCAACACAUAUAUCUGAGCUUCGCC